UCCCUGGCGGCACAAAAUCGUUAAAAGUACUACGAUUAGGACAAUUACACGGUAUACGUUUAGGGGUACUGAUAAGAAGACCUAUUCGUACAAUUCCAGCUGUCAAAAGGCAUUGCGACGGUUGUCAUUAUUUUUCACGGUGUAUAGUUGCAAUAAAUUUGACAAGAUAUAUAAUUAUUUUUUGAAAAAAUAUAUAUAUAUCUUUUUAGACAUUUGUUUCAUAUGUAUCUAUUGUAGAGCUCCUUUAAUGUGCUUUUGUAGAGCUCUUAGCACCGUUUCACUGGUGUGCUAUUUAUAUCCUGUCUUAUCUGAGUUGUAUUUGAUCCGCGGUCUUCUGAGGUGGUUUGGAAAAUGAAACGCAUGUCGAUCGAUCUGAAUGAUAAAUCCAACAGCAAACGCUUGUUAGUUGAUGGACCAAAAGCCACAAAUAUCAUAAUAUCAAAAUAAAAGUGCAAAUAUCAUCCGCUAAUCAGCAACAAAAAUCUGCAUCAAAUCGUUCACGCAACCUCUUGAUAAGUUUACCAAAAGGACGGGAACACAUUAGAACUGUAAGAGUUUACAGCAUAUUCUUGAGUUAAUUUCUUUCACAACCUUUUAAUAAAUACGCUUGUUUUUAAGAA